rnacentral:rRNA from 1 species
AUGGCGGAUGCACCUCUGUACAAGCAGCGCCGCAAGUACACCAGGGAGCUCCACGACGUCCACCUCCACGGCAAUCACAAGCUCCACGUCCUUUGCACAAGCAAGGGCAAAGACGUGGACAAGAUGUUGUCCACGUUCAGGAGGAAGCUCGGCGGAAUGCCCGUCAAACUAGUCGGCAUUGAUAUCGAGUACACACACUACAAGAAGCCACGGCGUGCAGCGGUGCUACAGCUAUGCGUAGAAAAAGAAUGCCUUGUCUACCACAUAUCUGCAGCUAAAGACAGGAGACAAAAGCAAGCUGAAGGUAUCUGUUUGGAGAUCAACUCCGACAACUAUAUUGAUAUUCAGGUGGAAUGGAGAGACCCAUACAAUAAAAAUAAGUUUGACUCUUUAGCUGAUGUUGCUGGCAGGAUGAUAGACAUUCACUACCAUGACAUGAAGAAAAAAUUUAACCGCAAGGAGGACCAUACUCUAUGGGGAUUUUGCCCGCUGCCAGAAAAGCUUAUCAAGUAUGCAGCAAUAGAUGCAUUCACAACAUAUGAGUCAUGGAGAAUCAUCUACGAUGUCAUAAUGGGACUGGACAUGUCAAAAAGAGACAAAGAAGAAAAGAAGAAGAAGAACAAGGUUGUAAUCCAAUACAGCAACUAG